rnacentral:rRNA from 1 species
UACGUAGGGUGCGAGCGUUAAUCGGAAUUACUGGGCGUAAAGCGUGCGCAGGCGGUUAUAUAAGACAGAGGUGAAAUCCCCGGGCUCAACCUGGGAACUGCCUUUGUGACUGUAUAGCUUGAGUGCGGCAGAGGGGGAUGGAAUUCCGCGUGUAGCAGUGAAAUGCGUAGAUAUGCGGAGGAACACCGAUGGCGAAGGCAAUCCCCCUGGGCCUGCACUGACGCUCAUGCACGAAAGCGUGGGAGCAAACAGG